UAUUUUCAGGGCGAGGUGUAAUUCCUCACCGGCAGUUAAAGUCUGCGAACUCGUAAGAGCCGAUGCGGUGAAAUUCCGCAACCGACGGUAUAGUCCGGAUGAGAGAAAAU
rnacentral:ncRNA from 1 species